GUUGAACGCUGGCGGCAGGCCUAACACAUGCGAGUCGAGCGGAUGAAGGGAGCUUGCUCCUGGAUUCAGCGGCGGACGGGUGAGUAAUGCCUAGGAAUCUGCCUGGUAGUGGGGGAUAACGUCCGGAAACGGGCGCUAAUACCGCAUACGUCCUGAGGGAGAAAGUGGGGGAUCUUCGGACCUCACGCUAUCAGAUGAGCCUAGGUCGGAUUAGCUAGUUGGUGGGGUAAAGGCCUACCAAGUCGACGAUCCGUAACUGGUCUGAGUGGAUGAUCAGUCACCCUGGAACUGAGACACGGUCCAGACUCCUGCGGGACGCAGCAGUGGGGAAUAGUGGACAAUGGGCGAAAGCCUGGUCCAGCCAUGCCGCGUGUGUUAAGAAGGUCUUCGGAUUGUAAAGCACUUUAAGUUGGGAGGAAGGGCAGUAAGUUAAUACCUUGCUGUUUUGACGUUACCAACAGAAUAAGCACCGGCUAACUUCGUG
rnacentral:rRNA from 1 species